GAAGGAAAGGGCACUGCCCUGGCUUGGGCUGGGCAGGCUGGGGACAGCCACAAGGUUGGCUUGAACUCCCAUGGGGUGGCCCCUGCCUGGUUUCAAGGAGGGGCUGCCCAGGAUUUGGGCUCUGCCCGGGGCACUGAGUGUCCUCCUGACAUUUCAAGCUCUUUGUUUCGUUCGUUUGACUCCUCUGAUUUUCUAUUUUAAUCAGGGAUCUCCCUAUAUGCUACUCUUAAGCCACCAUGUAAAGAUCAACUGGGAUCCACAGGGUGAUUUCUUUCCAGUGGACCUAGCUGGGUGGAACGAACUACAACACGGGCUUGUGUGUGUGUGGCAGGGGCUGGUGCAGUGGUGACCGAGGUAUCACGGGCGGGGAGUGUGCUCUGUGCCCUCCCGCUGAGAAGUGAUUCCUGACACCUGCCCCACCAGCUGAGAGCCCAGGAAGCCUCGCCUUUUCAGCGUGUUAGUGGAGCAGCCUUGCAAAGACUGAGGCAAGAGUGUGUGAAAUCCCCACGGCUCUCGUCACACGGGCUGUUUGGGAUGCUCUGUGACUCGGCUCUGAUACGGCAAAGAGCCCCAGGAGCCUUAAAAAGCUGCUGCCUGUGCUGUUCCUGGGGGAAAUUCGCUCUCCUUCGGAUCAGACUCUGUCUCUCUUGGUUUUGCCUCCAAGAAUUGCCCAAGUGGGGCCCAGCGUGGGCAGCCUCCUUCCCCUGCCCUGAGUUGUGCACGGCACCCCACACAGCCCUUCACAUUUCAUCUCCAGCGGGCCUGGCUAUGGACUCAUCCUCUUCAAGACAAGGUCGUAAUCUGGAUUGCUCCCCCGAAAGUGCCGCCCUGCAAAGGCGCCUGCCACUAGGUCUGCUGUGAGGGUGCCGGUGUGGCUGCCGGCUGUGUGCAGGGAGGCAGUCCAGCAGCUGGAAAAGCCACAGAUGUCUGUGGGUCUGUUCCCACUCCUUUUCCAGGGCUAACUGCGUGCACGGAAACCAUGAAAGCACUGUCUGGGCCCAGGCAGCGGUCCCCUUGCGGGGUGAUUAGUACUGGCGCCAGCAGCCUCUCGGACCUUGGGACUGAGACCUUGGGACCUGCCAGGAAGGGGGUAGACCAAAUGCCUCUGACCCCUCAGGGCGAAGGCAACGGACGAGGGAAGUGGCUACUUUUCAGCUGAAACUCAACCAUCUCCCCAAAAGCAAGGAGCUGCUAUCUGCUAGAGACAAAAGGGGGAGCAGUGCUUUCCACCCCCAAGCACACCAGCACAGCCUUCACAUCGCAGGGGUCCAUCUCCUGGAGGGCAGCAGCACAGACCCUGACCAGGUGGGAGGCACCCUCUUCUCUGGAUGCAGUGGGUGUGGUCCUCUCUCCCACAUCCUGAGUUUCACUGAUGGGGAGGCAGGAAGUCCAAACCUAGCCCUUUCCUUCUCUCUCGAGGUGGGCACAGCUCCCUAGGGACGGAUGCCUGGUUUUCCUCUACUUGAGGUACACAGUCACUGCAGCUGAAGUCCUUCCCGCUCCUGUUCCUUAAACUCCUUCAGUCAUUGCAGCUUUCGUCUCAGACACUCCAGAGGCAGGGGCAGGGUAAGAGCCAGGAGCAAGAGGUAAGCCCACCUCCCAACUGCACCAGAGCAAGGCAAGGAGGCCUGCUUACCCUCUCCCUGCCAAAAAUACUGUCAUUUUCCAGAAAGGAGCCAAGCCCAGCUCAGCAACUGACAAGGCUGAGGUGGAUUUGUUGGGGGCCAGGGGAGGCAUCUGGCGAGAAAGGCAUCCUUCGGAAAUACGUUGGCCCAGCUGCGGUUUGAAUACUAUAGCUUUUCUGUAUGUUCGUUUACGGAUCAAUCCUUUUUUCGCCUAUCUCUGAAGUUUCCUGGGGGAGAAUCCACCUAUUCUUUCUUUUUUUCCAGAGACAUUUCUUCAAAAGGAAAAGAAAAUGGAGAUGUCGGGUCUGGAGGAGAAGACCCACAAAGCAAAAAUAAAGACAAUGAGAGCCGUCCUCAUUGAACUGUCCCUCGCCGCCCUCGCCGUAGUCCACCAGGCUGUCGUCACUCUCCUGUUGCUUGAUGGUACCAUCCAGGGACGUCUGGCUGCCCUGCAAGGGCUUGUUGUCCUCGUCACUGGAUGGAGAGAGGACAGAGAGUCAGGGCUGGCCCACCCAGCGCAGCCCAAACCCAGGCCGGGCGGAGGAAGGCCUCCAGCCUCUUGCCAGGCGCGCGUACCACACAGCUCAGAGAGGACGGGACCUCAGGGAUGGCCCAGACCAGCCCUCACUCCCCUCCCCGUCCGGCCAGUUCUGCAGAAGGGAAGCUGAGGCCUAGAGAGGACAGCAUCGUCUCCCAGGCGAGGGGCAAGCUGGUGCGGAGCUGGGAUGGACCCACGCUCCUGGACGCCGGGUCUGGGGUCCUCUCCGGGAAGCUGGGUCGCUCUCCGGGAUGGAAGCAGGCAGAGGACGCCACCCCAUGUUUCGGACUCUUGGACUCAUCCAAGUGGGGGCUCUAGGAUGGAUGCCGCAGGCCUCCCCAGAGCCGAAGCCAAGGGAGCAAGAAGGUGGAAACACACAUACAAAGAUGCAAUAAAUCGGAGUCGUGCAGUUGAAUGAAUGAAAUGCUGUUCAUCGAAUGAGUGUGUGUUGGGCAGUGCGUGCCAUCCCCGGGGGUAGGGGGGUGCUGUCACAGAGGCGGAGGUGACAGCCUGAUGGGAGAGGACAUCCGUGCAGUAGCGUCUCAGCCCAGCUGAGCAGCUCUGAGGGAAGGGGGCUGCCUCAGGGGGGGUGAGGAGAACCCACCUGACAAGGGGUGCUCUGUGUGAACAGGAGUCAAGGAGAUCGCGCACCUGUAAUCAAAGGAGCCAUCCUCUUCUUUGGGGUCCUCAGGGCCAAGGGGAACAUCCUUCUUUUCUCGCACUUGGUCAGUAAGGGAAGCAAAGACACAGACGUCAUGACUGAGCGUGCUCGAGCUCUGCGGGGCCCCAAAGUACAGCCAAAGAAGCCGCCUCUGGGUUCCAUGACUCUCCCUCUUAACAAGGCCCCAUCCAUGCCCCCCUUGUUCUUGCCUCCCACGGUUGCUUGGGUGCCAAGUGAAUUCUGCUUCCUCCUCCUCGUCACUGGGGCUUUUCUUAUAUCUCCACUGACAACUGAAAUCUCCCCCGACCCGGCUCCCCACCACCGCUCCGUGAGGUCUUCUCCAAUCACCAAAUGGAUGCGAUCCUUGGCACCUUUCUUUUUUUCUUUUGGCUGCAGCACUCGGCAUACUAGAUCUUAGUUCCCUGACCAGGGAUCGAACCCAUGCCCCCUGCAAUGGAAGCGCCGAGUCCUAACCACUGGACCACCAGGGAAUUCCUUGGCACCUUUCUUAAUCUGGUUCCCUGUUAUAAUUAUGUGUGCACAUUUAUUUUGCCUGUAACAGAAUGCCAGUUCUUUUCUCGAGGGUGGGGACUGUGUGUUUCUUCAAAGCUCCUAAGAGAGUGCCCUGGGCAGACAGGACACGCCACACACACCUCUGGAAUGGAAGGUGCUCUCUUAACUGUGACCUCACUUGUUUGUGCGACUCCUUCUUCCCACACCUCCUCUGUGAUGUGUCAGCGUCCCUCCCAGGCCCUGUCUUGUGCUGUGAUCCUCCUACUAUGCCAGCUGCACUGUCCUUGAGGGAGGGGUCACCUCUCCUUCUAGUAUCCUUAGCACCCAGCACAGAGCCUGGCACACAGCAGACACUGAGGUGAGUGACUUCGUUUCUUCCUGAGGUAUGAGGCAGGAUAAUCACCCCUAUUUUAGGGGAGGGAAGCUGAGGCCUUGAAGAUGUCACGUAACUAAUUAGCAACUAAAGUUUAAGGUGGAGACUGAAGCCCUGGCCUCAAGGCUCCUGGUUCACUCAUCUUCCUAAUGGAUGGGGGGCUUCCCUUGGAGCUGGAGGAAAGGAGAUUAGCUGUAAGAAGAACUUUCUGGAAUGGGCAGAGGAAGGCUGAGUUUAUCUGAUCAGUUCUCAGGUGCAUCAGUUCCACCUGGAACAGAGGGUAAGCUCAGAAAGGCUGCCCUUCUCCUAACGCUGCCUUUCUGUCUUACAGAAGAAAACCAGCCCCAACACAGCACAACAAAGUGAAAGAAAACAUCAUUCACCAAUAAAGAAGUAUAAUUUCCUGCCCUCCCUGACUUGAAGGAGAGGCAUAACUCUUUAGAAUCCUAGGGUCUGAGGGCACACGGGCCAGGGGAAGAAAAUCAAACAGAAUCUCCUCUCUCUUUAAGUUUUAGGGGAUCGUGGAGGAGGAUGUGUUCACAGAGAUGCGCAGAAGCCGGCACUUGGGGAGCAUGGGGUGUGUCUGGCAAUGGCUUUGGGGGCAGGGAGCAAUUUCAUUGUGCAAUCCAGCUGGAUUUUCAC